GCGUGAGCCACCGCACCCAGCCCGUAUUUUUUUUUCUAACAAAUACCUGGUGUUAAGCCCAAAGUGUGUGUUUCUGGUUGGCUGGUGAUGCUCUUUCAAGUCCUGAAUCAGGGACCCAAUAACUUUCAACAUUGUGGCUCAGCUCUCUUCAACAGCUGCCUCCAAGUUCUCUUGAGAUAUUGGUAUUUAUCAGAGGAGAGGGGAUGGAGAAGGUAUAUGCCUUUGCUAGAGCUGCCAUAACAAAGGACUGUAGACUGAGGGGCUUAAACAACAGAAAUUUAUUUCCUUACAAUCCUGGAGGUCGGAAGUCUGAGAUCAAGGUGUGGGCAGGGCUGGUUCCUCCUGAGGCCUCUCUCCUUGGCUUGUAGACUCUGUGUUCUCCCUUUGUCCUCAUACAGUCGUCUCUCUGUGUGUGUCUGUGUCCUCAUCUCUUCUUAUGAGGUGUCUUAGUCCAUUUCAAGCUGCUAUAACAGAACACCAUAGACUGCAGGGCUUAAACAACAGACAUUUAUUCUCCCAUUGUCUUGGAGGCUAUCUAUCUACCUAUGUAGCAUCUAUCUACCCAUCUAUCUAUCAUCUGUGUAUAAUCUACCUAUUAUCUAUCUAUCUACUUAUCAUCUACUUAUCAUCUACCUAUCAUCUGUCUAUUUUUCUAUCUAUCAUCUAUCUACCAUCUAUGUAUCUACCUAUCAUCUAGCCAUCUGUCAUCUAUCAUCUAUCACCUAUCAUCUAUCUGUCUCACCUAUCAUUUAUCUAUGUAUUUGUGUAUCAUCAUCACCCAGCUAUGAACUAUCUAUCAUGUAUGAUGUAUCUAUCAUCUAUGUAUCUACCUAUCUGUUAUUUUGGUCAAAUAUACAUAAUAUAAAACUCACCAUUUUAACCAUUUUUAAGUGCACGGUUCAGUGGCAUUAAGUGGAUUCACACUGUUAUGCAACCAUCACCACCACCUAUCUCCAGAACUUUUUUAAUAUCCUCAGUGAGAUUCUGUCCCCAUUAAACACUAACUCCUCAUGUUCCCUUCCCCCAGUGCCCAGUGCCCACCAUUGUCUCUAUGCAUUGGAUGACUCUAGAGACUUCACAUGAAUGGACUCAUAGAGUAUUAGUCUUUUUGAGCCUGGCUUAUUUUACUUAGCAUAAUGUCCUCAAGGUUGAUCUACGUUGCAGCACGUGUCAGAAUUUCCUUCUUUGUUAGGGCUGAACAAUGUCUCAUUGUAUGGAUGGACCACACUUCGUUUAUCCAUUCCUCUGCUGAUAGACACUUGGGUUGCUUCCACCUCUUGGCUACAGUGAAAAACAGUGUUACGGACAUAGGUUUACAAGUAUCUCUUUGAGACCCUGCUUUCAAUUCUUUUGAGUAUAUACCCAGAAGUGGAAUUGCUGGAUCCUAUGCUAACUCUGUGUUUAAUUAUUGGAGAAACCACCACACUGUUUUGCACAGGGGCUGCACCAUUGAGCAUUUUCACCAACAAUGCACAAAGAUUCCCAUUUCUCUACAUCCUGGCUGACACCUGCUAUUUUCUGGAUUUUGUGAAUCGUAGCCAUCCUAGUGGGUGUGAAGUGGUACAGCUUUUAUUUAACACUGAAGGACACAGCACAGCAAGAGAGAGAAAAAGUGUGUGCGCAGGCCAGCAUUGGGAUACAGAGAGACCCUUGUGCAAGAUCCCAGGGUUCGUAUUGAUGCAUGAAUUGAACCACCUAAAUAUAGUGAAGCCAUACUGACUUCACAAGUGGUUAGGCCAGUUGCAAGCCAUCAGUAAAGAAAUUGACCCUCAAGGGAUUUCUUUCUUUUUUUUUUUUUUUUUUGAGAUGAAGUUUCCCAGGCUAUAGUGGCAUGGCAUGAUCUCAGCUCACUGCAACCUCUGCCUCCUGGGUUCAAGCAAUUCUGCUGCCUCAGCCUCCUGAGUAGCUGGGACAACAAGUGCGUG
rnacentral:lncRNA from 1 species